rnacentral:lncRNA from 8 species
GGCUAGAUGAGAAGAUCAAAGAGGAAAAGCCAAAGAGGAGAGAAGAGACCUGGGAACUCCUGUUGUUUGAUGACUGGUCCGGGGAUAUUCUGUGACGAGGGUUGUUGUGUGCCAGUCGGUAACCAGGCUUCUCUGGUAUCCCUGGUUCCCCCCCUGCCCGAUUCCCUGGGAGAGGAACCUGAGCUGGUUCUGUGACGCUGCUGAGAUUGGUAUCCAAAACGUACUGGGAGCAGGAUGACAUUGGGAUGAGCUCAUACUAAAUCUGCUGAGUCAUGGAGAGCACGGAGUAGAGAUGGCCUGCUAUAUUUCGUUGGAGCAACGAGCGUGACAGUGAGUCAGCACCUUUGGAGCCGUACAGUAUUCCCUGUCACCAAGUACCAAGUCAUAUGCUGCUAUAUCGAUGGCCGCUACGGUUUCACACAAAGACAUAUGGACAUGUGCAGUCUGAGGUAAAUGCCAAGACGAAUACUCAUUCCUUCAAGCUUAGGUUUAACAACUAGCGUUUCCUAAUGGGUUGUUUCCCUACAGUAGGUAGCCGGUUUUAAUAGAAUCUCACAUGAUGAUUUCAUUGACAAGGAACAAAGAUUUAUAAGUCAGAGGCUGGUUAAACAAGUCCUCUCACCCCCAUCCAUGUACGGUAAAAUGAUGAGUUUGGUAAAGAUCAUGAGGUGGACUCUAAUCAACGCAGAACAAAACUAAAAUUGGUAAGCGACAAUGGUCCAAAAGGAUCUCUCCUCCAGCUAAAGGAAUGGGUCUGUUCCAGUGUAAUACGUGGUAUGAGUCCCAGAUCUAGUUAAGUGAGUGGGCUGUAGACACACACGCACACACACACACUAAGAGAACAAUGCCAACAUUGUGAAAUUGGAGCUUGGAGCGCCAUGGAAGAGGGAGAGCUCUGUCUCCCUGUUGGCCCCUCUAUCAUAAACUAACAACAGGAUCCAGUCAAUAUCCAGAAAACAAGCCUGUGUGUGUGUGUGUGUGUGUGUGUGUGUGUGCGUGCGUGUGUGUGUGUGUGUGUGUGCGCGCGUGCGUGCGUAUGUGUGUGCGUGCGUGUGUGUGUGUGUGUAUGUGCGCGCGCGUGCGUGUGUGUGUGCGUGUGUGUGUGUGGUGGGUUGUGUGUGUGCCUCUCAUAAAACCACCAUUACCCAAUGCUGUUCUGAAAUAUUGUUCUGAGAGUCAGGUUGAUAGUCCUUCCUACUAACAAGUACAAACUCUUUAACAUAGCACUCCGUAUACACUGACUAUACCUACCAUUAGGAACAACUUCCUAAUAUUGAGUUGCACUCCCUCCACUUCUGCCCUCAGAACAUCCUCAGUUUGUCGAGGCGUGGACUCUACAAGGUGUUGAAAGUGUUCCACAGGGAUGCUGGCCCAUGUUGAAUCCAAUGCUUCCCACAGUUGUGACAAGUUGGCUGGAUGUCCUCUGGGUAGUGGACCGUUCUUGAUACACACAGAAAAUGGUUGAGUGCGAAAAACCCAGCAGCGUUGCAGUUCUUCUUUAACCUGUCUCCUCCCCUUCAUCUAUACUGAUUGAAGUGGAUUUAACAAGUGACAUCAAUAAGGGAUCAUAGCUUUCACCUGG